rnacentral:rRNA from 1 species
CAGCCGCCGCGGUAAUACGUAGGGUGCAAGCGUUAAUCGGAAUUACUGGGCGUAAAGCGUGCGCAGGCGGUUCGGAAAGAAAGAUGUGAAAUCCCAGGGCUCAACCUUGGAACUGCAUUUUUAACUACCGGACUAGAGUAUGUCAGAGGGAGGUGGAAUUCCACGUGUAGCAGUGAAAUGCGUAGAUAUGUGGAGGAACACCGAUGGCGAAGGCAGCCUCCUGGGAUAAUACUGACGCUCAUGCACGAAAGCGUGGGGAGCAAACAGGAUUAGAUACCCCUGUAGUCCCUGUCUCUUAUAC